rnacentral:misc_RNA from 1 species
AGUUAUAAGAAGGAACUAAGACUUGACUUUAGUUCUUUUUUUUCUUUUAAUUCCCUUAUUGUUAUUGAACUGGAUGUUUCCUCUUGUUCUUCUUGUUGAAGAAGAGUCUUGGACUGCACUUUCCUCCCUUUACUUGAACACUAACUGGGUUGACUGUGUAGUGAGUAGUGACUAGUGGACGGACAGUGGGUAGUAACGACUGCUCCUUACUACUCUAAAUACAACUGCGACAGAAGAAUACUCAACAAUACAUUUGAUUAUUAUUAAUUAUACAGCACUACUACUCUGGGUUGACUCACUUAGCACUGGAACAACUUCUUUCCUGGAUUGAUCUAUCGGAUUGAUGUGGAGAUGAAGUGUAGAAAGGGCCAAGGUGUGACUGUCGAAAAUGUCUGGAGGUGAGGAUCCAAGUGUUGGCGAUACAACUCUUUCUUGCUCCCUUUGUGGAUCUCUCCUCAAAGACGCACGGGUCCUUCCUUGUCUCCAUAGCUUUUGUAAAAAGUGUCUGUUGGAACAAGUGAAAGAUCUGGGAAAGGACGAAUAUCCCUGUCCAACCUGUGGAAAGAAAGUGGAGCUCAACUACGAGGAUUCCAUUGAAGCCCUACCUAUGAACACCUACUACUCUCAUUUCACGGGCCUUGAUGCUCCAGAAAGUCCCAUCGAAUCAGAUUUGGAGCGAACUGCCACGAGGAAAGGCCCCAAUAGGAUUUCUGCCCUUAAAGCAUCUCCACAAAGCUCAUAUCCCUUUAAUGUAACACCCUGGCACUCAUGCGCAAAUUCCCCACGACCCUCUGAGCCAUGGCAUCCUGCCCCAGAAGUCACAUCCAUGUCUGUGCAAUCCAAUGAUAAUUCCAUAUGGAAAUCACGCUUCAACCUCACACCUCUGCUAAAAACUGGGCCAAAAACCUCUGAUGGUACUACCCAUGGAUGGCAGCCUCUUGGAGAAGGUUUAUCUGUUGAACCUUGGAAUGAUAAUCCAACAAUGAGUGAUAGCAAUUCACCACCCCCUUUGGGAGGUGCUAAACUCCUCUGUUCCUGUACUGAUAACCAUCCCGUUAUAUCACGCUGUCAAGAUUGCUUGGAAGACUUAUGUGAAUCAUGUGUUAAUGCACAUCAACGCGUAAAGUUGACUCGUGAUCAUAUCAUCAUACGAUAUCCCACACCUAAUGAAAAUCCUGUUAGUAAACUUGAUAAUGUCACAACCUCUAACACUAACUGCUCAAAUGCUGUCUUGACCCCACCUGUCCAAAAUGCAGAUGUAAUGAGGGUUUAUGUUGAUGCUGUUGGAAAAGCUAAGGCUGACUCUGAAAAAUAUUUGAACAAGGCCAAACUUGGUAUGGCACAAAUUGAUGAAACAAAGGCUGGAGUUCACAAAAUGAUAUCAAGAAUUGAUACUCGUUUUCAAGCUGUUAAGAAUGAAGUCAAAAGCAUUGCUCAACGACACGUAUCAGCUAUACAAGAACGUGAGCAAUUUCUUCUGAUGAGGCUUGAAAAAAUACAACAAGUUAAAUUUUCCAAUUUAGAAGCUCAACAGAAUGAGCUUAGCAUGUCAUCCCUUUAUCUCAGAAAGGUUAUUGAUCAAUUAACAUCGUGUAGUAAAAAUGGUCGUGAAAUGGAUUUAAUUGACACUUGCAACAAGGCUGUAGAAACCAUUAGAAAGGUUCAAAGUCAGUGUGGGACUUUGUCGGUUCAAGAAGAUGAUAUUAUCAUAUUUAAUCCACCGGAUCCUUCGGUUCAUCAGGAAAUACUCACUUUUGGUUUUAUUGGUGGAUCAGGAUUUGCUCCUGCUAGUCGAGCAGAGGGAGACGGUUUGUAUAGAGGCAUUUUGGGAAAAGAAGCUAGAUUUAUUGUGAUAGUCAAAGAUCAUUUGAAUGAAAAAAGAGCCACUGGAGGAGAUCCUAUUAAAGUCACUAUAUUAGCUCCUGAUACUAGGCCAGUGAGGCAAACUAUCUUUGAUGGUAAGAAUGGAACUUACCGAAUUGCAUGGAAGCCUAAUAUUGAAGGUGAACAUAUUGUCGCUGUAACUUUAAAAGAUAAACAUAUUCAGGAUAGUCCAUUCAAAGUUAUGAUCCGCUCAGGCCGGAAUUACAACACAAUUGGGAAGCCUCUCUUCAUGUUUGGUGGAGAAGGUGAAACAGAUGGUCAAUUGUGUCGUCCAUGGGGAGUUACGUGUUCAAAAGAUGGAAGCAUUAUGGUUGCAAACAGAUCAAAUAAUAGAAUUGAGGUUUACGGAAAAGAUGGCAAAUUCAAAUAUAAAUUUGGCACUUCAGGCAAAUUAAAAGGUCAAUUUGAUAGACCUGCCUCAGUUGUUUGUGAUAAAAUGAAUAGAGCUAUAGUUGCUGAUAAGGACAAUCAUCGUAUACAGAUUUUUACAGUUGAAGGAGAAUUUUUAAUGAUGUUUGGAGAAAAGGGGUCCAAAAGUGGGCAAUUUAACUAUCCAUGGGAUGUAGCCACAAAUUCAAAGGACCAGAUACUGAUAUCUGAUACUCGUAACCAUAGAAUACAGUUAUUUACUCCUAAUGGAGAAUUUUUAGCCAAAUAUGGAUUUGAAGGAACGAUGUGGAAGCAUUUUGAUUCACCUCGUGGUGUAUGUUUUACUUCAGAUGACCAGGCUGUGGUUACGGAUUUUAACAAUCAUAGACUUUUGGUUGUUAAAUCGGAUUUCAAUAUAGCACAAUUUCUUGGAAAAGAAGGUUCUGAGAAUGGUAUGUUCACGAGGCCAAACGGUGUGUGUGUUGAUGAAGAAGGACACAUCAUUGUAGCGGACUCUCGAAAUGACAGAAUUCAAAUCUUUUCUUCAUCCGGAGUUUUUAUAAAAAAGUUUGGAUCUAAAGGUACUGGUCCUGGGGAAUUUGACCGGCCUUCUGGGAUUUGUAUCUCUCCUGAAGGACAAUUGAUUGUUGUUGACUUUGGGAAUAGUAGAGUGCAAGUUUUUUAAUGAAAAUGCCUUCCUUAACAUGAUGUCAUGAUGUACGGGUAUACAUAAAUUAUAUUGGAUAAGAUAGAUUUUAUAUAAAUAUUGAUGUUCAACGCCUGCCACCUUUUUCAUAUACUUUCAUGUCAUUUGGUUCAUUUGUUCCUUACAUAUAUUACUAUAACUGUUAUGCCGACACUAUUUUACUUUGUUCUUGUAUGUAUGAGCCAUAAGUUGUUUACUUUGCUAUUUUGAAUGCUUAAAUCGAAAGACUGAAACAUCAUAUUCUUUGGUUAUAGGGUUUUUUGUAAGGAAAAACUGUAGAUUUAAGUUCAACUCAAAACAUUUACUUUCAAUAUUAUUAAAUUUAACACAAAUCUACCUCAUUUAUGAUAUUUUUUUGCUCGGUUGGUCAAGUAAUAGGUACACAAUACUAUAACCGUGUUUUUAUUCAUUGUUAUUUUGAUAUAUAAUUCAAAGUGAAUGUCCCUAUCAACAACACACAAAAAAUUUAAUCAAGGGCGUCAAGUUAAUUUAGUUUUUAUCAUUUAGUUGAAUUUUCUUUAACUUUGAGGCUUUGAUGUUUCAUAGCUUUUCGCUUUAUACGUAGAUUCUACUCUAUAAUUGUAAUAUCACCUAAAGAAAUUAUAUACUGUGACUACCUGGAUAACUCAGCCGCCCCCUCAUCACCUUAUUUAAGGCUUCUUUAAUGUUACAACUACAAUCACCACCCACCAGGAUGUGUAUUUCAUAAGAAAAACAGAAUUCGAAGAAUUCAAUUCAUUCAUCGUUGUCUCAGACAUUUAAAAAAAAUUAUCAUUAUUUCAAUCUUAUAAAGAGAAAAAAAAAUCAAGUUAAUAAUUACAUUUUAUCAAAGGCCACUACCCCUUCCUUGAGAAUUUAUCUGCCCCUUUCCCAUGUUUCAAAAAACAAUAAUUUCUUCUACUUCCUAGAAUAUUUCAUUUUAUUAUUAUUAUUUUUUAAUUGAGAUAGUCCACCAGUACAGCUUAUAGCUGCUUAAAUAAAUGUGUAAUAAAGAGAAGAAGACGACCUAAAAUUGAUGAAAAUAUUAUCAAUAGAAAAUAAAUAUUAUUAUCAUUUGAAUUAAAGCGGAUUUUAACACUGUUUUUUUGUUAUGUUAAAGUUAAUAUAUUCGUCUAACGAUUAAAAAAAAAAAUUAAAUUAAAAGAGGGAAAGUACUUUCUAAAUGGUUGGGGUAAACCGAUAUUUCUAUAUUUUUAUUUGUUUUCUGUAAAUCUUACUUUUCAUUGAGCCUAAAUACUUCAAAAUAUCUGAUGAAUAAAUAAAAUGACAAUUUUCAGAGAUUUUUUUAGAACUACUUUUUGAUUCCCCUUCAAAUGAAAGGCGUCGUCUCCCUAACCCCACCCCAAAUCUCAUGAGCCAUUAUUUUAAAUUUAAUAAGGAUUUGCUAUGUAAAAUAUUAUAGUUAAAAAAUUAGAGAUGGUUCAAAGUUUGUAGGGGAUGAUAAUACGUGUUGUACUUUGUUGUAUUUCUAAAUUUCACUUGACCAUGUUGUAAGACUGAUAUUCGUUUUGAUAUAAUUUCAUAACUAUUUAAAACCUCUAUUGUGAAUUUUAAAAUAUAAAAUACAACAUUUUUGAUUA